UUUAAGAGGUUAAACUCAAUUGGCUUGAGUGAAGCCACGCCCUCUCAUAAGUGAAGAACAGGAAUAUUCCGGUUUUUCCAGGUUGCCUGAAAAAAUGUAGUCACGUAGUUUUCUUAGACGGUGAACAAGCUGUAUUACAAAGAGCAAAAGGUUUUUUCUUUUGGAGAUACACCGAAAUAUUAAAGAAAUAUUCAGAGAGCGAGACAACAUUGGUUGUGAUGGCUGAACGUUUUUUCCUGCUACUAGUCACCCAUGAGGCACGGAGCAGCCGCGUGAGCACAUUUUGACCAGAGGUCAGGUCCUUUUAGCGGGAACCUAAACUUCCUGGAGCUGCAUUCGAAUAUCGUUGGAUGUCGAUGCUGGAACUGGCGUGAACAGGAAGUUGGGGGAGGUACUCAAUGGAAGGGUAAAUACCAGUGACCUCAGCAGACCAGCUAAUCAUCCACAUCCCACCAGUUUGCAAGUGGACCAACCUUUGUGAAGAACUUGUGGCCACGGAUAUUCUGCGGUGACGGGCGAUCCCGUGGGUCGAUUUGAAAUAUUUUGCCCAUCAGUUUCCCAGCUUCAAUACCGAGGUUCUGGGGUAGAAUAAAUUUAGCUUCUUUGAUGUUCUUUAUCAUUUCACAGCGAUCGUCGUGAUCGAAUGGGAUUUCCCCAACCAGAAGCUGGUACCUGUAGUAAGAAAGGCAGCAAAGGUGUUUGAGGUCUUUCACAUUUGACAUAAAAAUGCUGUGCUUCCAAAAGAGCAAUUCCUCUCAACUGUGUGCCAGUAUUCAUUUUUCUUUUCUAUUUCAAGUAGAAAAAAAAAACAUAUUUAUGUAUGUUAGACGCAUGUCUUCUUAAAAUGUUAGACAGAUUUUAUUAGCCAUGCUGAUCUUUGGCCGGGAGGAGGGUUGAUAGGGUAUACGUACAUGACACAGCCCAGUGCCCAGACUUCUGCUUCCGUUCCAUGGCCGUCUCGUUUCCACACUUCUGGAGCCAUGUAACAUGGAGUACCACACACUUUUCUACAACACACACAAAUGGAAAACGUUAAGCGCACAUGUGCUUUAGCUUGCUGUAUAAACAAAUUUGAAAGCUUAGCCAGGAAUUCUGCAAAAAACACCUACUUCUCCCUCGGCUCCAGCUUGACCGCCAGUCCAAAAUCCCCGAUUUUCAGUUUCAUUUUGUCACUGACAAAUAAGUUUUCUGAAAGACAAACAAAUUUGCAUUAAGGAUAGACUCAAAUACUUUGCCAAACUGCAGACUUUACCAAAUUGAUAAAUGAACACUACACAGAAAUCCAGACGAGCUACACUCGCAAUGCCAUGUGAAAUGCCAGCAUUAUUAAACAGAGAAUUGAGUAAAGCGUGAGUGCAUGUACACAUAUCGAACUAGAUUUCCCUAUGGACAUAAUAUUGCCGGUAGAUGUGUUUUAUCCCCGAUAUCAGCUGUUGAAUGUAAUAGCGGACUUCGGGGUCAAUCAGAGUCCCGCGAGCUUUCAGGAUGUCACCAAGUGUCUGGGCAGGGAGAAACAGGGGCAGCCUGAUCCAUCACAAAGUCUUUGCCUUAGUAAGACGUCUAUAAAAGUCAGGGACUCACCUGCCUACUGCACAACUCCAUGAAAAUAUACAUGAACAGAUCGUCUUCAAAAGAAUGGGAGAAGCCCACAACGUUCUUGUGCCGUGGUUUUUUUCAAAAUUUCCACUUCUUGACACACCUGAGUGAAAUAUCAAACACACCAUCUCAUCAAGUACUGUAACAGGGAAAUGCAGAUAAACUGCAAAGAGGGAUGACAUUAAGCACAAUCCAUACCACAUACCUCCUCCAGUCCCCAGGAAUGUGGAGGUAUGACCAUCACAGCAAAGGUGUCACCACUUUCAAGGUCGGUCAUCUUGUAGCACUUGCCACAAGCACCCUAAAGAACAUGUCAAUAAAGGGCAUUUCUGACUGACCCUGUUCAAGCAUCUCCUCUCCGCAGAAAAAGAUCAACUGUAAUCACUUUCAACAACAACUUUGUGGUGCACACCUGUCCCAAAAGCGGCCAAGACAGCUGGGCAAUUUGAACUUGCUAGAUGGAUUACAUCACCACAUUGAAAAUUCCAUGGACGGAAAAAGAGGUGAACUUGCUAAGACAUUGCAACAAAACACGGAUAAAAACUUUCAUUACAAUCAACUUCAUUGAAGAAAAAAAACCCGUCUCCGUUUUGUACACCAAACAUUCAGUUUCGGUAAUGCAGUAACACAUGCUCAGGAAUAAAGACUUUUAUGUAGUGUGCAGUGACUAUCACAUCAUAUGUUACUGCGGCUCUUUAGGCACUCAGCUAUCGGUCUCACUUUGUCAUACAGAACAGGGAUUCAUUUCCUGGUGAAAAACUUCCUAUGUGGUAUGUGAUACCUCAGCUCCAAGAUGUGGAGCAGUUAUCUAUUACACCGUAAGGCUGGAUAUUUUUACAAAUAAAGGCAGCAAUGGUGUCGGUUAUUGCCUUAGAACGAGCUGUUAGCUGGCAGGGUGUGAAAAUUAGGGCGUUUAUUUUUUUUAAAGAGUUUUGUGUUAUUUGAAAGCAUUGUGAAAUGUAAAAAAAAAAACAGUAAUGAUAUGAUGAAAAUGGGAAUACUGACGUUGACAAUGCCAAUAUAAUAUUUUGGUAUGUUAAGGCAUGUUUGUUCUCUGCUUUAAAGAAAGGGGGAUGUGUUGAUAUGUAGUGCAGUACCUUUGGUGACCAGCAGAGAGACCUGGAGGGUUGGGAGGAGGUAAAGACAAGGGGUAGGGAGACCGACGGCACAGAGCAGGUUGUGGGUUUGCAUGGAAGAUGUUGAUGGUUAAAUAAAAGUUCAUUGUUCAUGAAACAAGGUCUCUUCAAUGACAUAUGAACAACACAAUGUAUCUCUUCCUUCUCAUGAUAAUCUGACUCGCCAAACAUGCCUCCAGCUCGCGCGACGUGGCCGAGGGACUUGAGGAGAAUUAUACACUGACAGCAGUGGAGAUGAGAGCGCACUUGAAAUUAUCAGGUAAGAGAGGGUUAAUCGAGCAAAAUGUACAAUUAUUGGUCAGAAAAUGUCGGUCAAAUUUCUAAAUAAUUAUGGCGUACGAAUAAUGAUAUAUCCGUAAAUCGUAUUUUACCGAUUUAAAGAUGUUCAUUAUUCAUUGUAUUGUCACGCCCCCCUCGGGAGAAUGCAGCGGCAGCAGCCACACCUGAGUUACGUCAACUCCCUGUUUAGUUCUGCUUGGCGCUGCAUUAUAUGCAAGGUACUGUUGAGGGUUUUCAUAAGAAGUACAGGGCGGUCUUCCUCCUGUCUACCCCGAUCCGGUCCAUCUGCCUGCUUUGCUGCCAUCCCAUCCCAUCCCAUCCUGAUCCACCCGGACCUCUCCCUUGUACUUGUCCUGCGUCUCGCAUGCCACCUGUAGAACUGGCUUUUGGACUCGAUUGUACUUGCUGAUUCCAGUCCUGUUUGCGUGUUCCCAACAAUAAACCCCGUACAGUACGUUGCCUUCUGUGUCUCUACCAUCCUCCGGGGUUGCAUGUUGUGCAAUACUGUAGUAGCUUGGAUUCAACCAUUAGAUGGCAGUAGUAGCAUAUAGUUGGAGGGAAGUAGAAGAAGGCAAGAGAGGGAAGUUGAGUGUUUGUGCGUUGUUCCCGGAGCUGAUAAGUUAAUAAAUAUUGAACCUCUUGCCAUCCCCAAAUGUGUCUCGGCUGACUCUCAAUAUAUCAAAAGUACAUACCGUCUAUUUAUUUAUGUCUGCCCUUCAAACCGCUAGAUUCCUUCACUAAGCAGGAAGUUUGUCACGACAGCUGACACCAAAUCUCCUGCUGAGCUGGUUCAGACAGAACUAUCCUCAAUUCACCACGAGGGGGCGCCAACGCAGCAGCUUAGUUCUAUUGUUUCGCUUUUUCAAAGACAGUUUUUCUCUUCACAAAAGGACAACUUAACUGAAUAAUGCACUUUCAUAGUAAUUGUUUUUAAUCCGUGUUAAUGUUCUGAACAAUGACUACUAAAGGUUCUGUAAGGUUGUCCCACAUACUAUGGAUUUUAAGUUUUUUAUCAAGGUGUUAAAACGUACCAUCUAUUUUCUGCUGAAAGUUGCCAGUCCUGUGUUUUAUGUCUAGCAAUUUGUACAGUUUCUUCAGUAUGGCACAUAAACACAUGCCAUCAUCUACAGUAUGAGAAUCUCCUCCAGAACUCUGCAUUUCCUCAAGAUUUUUUUGUAAUAUUACAUAGGUGCAUCUCAUGAACCUUAAUUUGCCAAGCAUGUAUUGACUGGGCACAGUACAGUGGUGCAAUUUCUGACAAUGAAAGAACAUCAUGGACCCCUACUCCCCAUUCCUUAACCCGAUCGAGGGGCUCUGCUCAGCAUGGAGUUAGAAGGCUUACGAUCGCUAGCCACAUGCUCAGAUGGCCCUGCUGUCUGACAUGAAUGCAGCAUGUGAGGACAUUACAGCAGAUGCCUGCAGAGGCAGGUAAGACAUUAGAAAAGAUUCCUUUUUUUCUUAUAUUUUAUUCUUUCUGUUUUUUCUUAUGUACAAAUACAUAAGUGCACAUUAGGAUGCUUUUUCACUAUUACGUAAGUUCCCAUGUGAACAGCCAAUCAGAUCAGCCUGAUGUGUGUCUUGUUCCUCUCUGUUUCCUGCCCUUUCAUCCCGACCACGACCAUGAUCUCUCACUUAGCAGCAGAGCAGUUUAUUCUAAACAGUGGAACCGCAAAGAUGUUCAGACUCUUUGGUCUUCUCAUUUUCAUUAGUAGGGUUCUAUACUAUUAAAUCAUAUUUUGGGGGGAUUUUUAUAUAUCCUGUACGAUGUGAUUAGUGUAAUAAGUAUUUGGCCAUUUAAUCUUCAUCAUAUGUAAUAGGUAUUCUGAUUAUUAUUAUGAUAUUUAUUUAUUUGUUUGUUUGUUUAUUCAUUUGUGUUUCUCUCUUUUUCCAGACACUUCACUGGCUGUGGAUGUUGUUCAGCCCAGCUACCUGAUGAGGGUCCAGCAUGGAGACAGUGUGACCCUGACAUGCUUCCGUCCAGAAGAUAUUUCUUUUGCAGUUUGGUUUUAGCAAGCUGCUGGUCAGAAGCCCCAGCUCAUCGCGAAAGCACUUCUCUACGUACCUGGUGAAUUUUACAAGGAAUAUAAAAACAUAAAACGUUACUCCUUACUGAAUGCAGAGGGGAGUUUUAACCUCACUAUUUCUAACGUGGAGCCGUCAGAUUCUGCAGUGUAUUAUUGCGCUGCUCUGUUCUAUAAUGAAAUCGCAUUUGGAAAUGGAACCUUUGUCAUAAUCACAGAUAAAUGAGAUUCCAACUAUUUUCAUAUUUGCUUUAUUAAAGUGUCAAUAAUAUUGUCCUUUGACAAACAUUUUUGACAGUUGAGCUCUGUGUCAAUAUAAAAUUAACCAACAUAGUUGAUGUAGAUUGCGAGCAUUGGUCCUUGAAUGUUUUUCUAUAUACAGCAUUAAACAAAAACAUUUAUAAAAGCUUUCCAAUUAGAAUUAUAAACUUUUUAUUAUUAUUACACGCAUAAAUAGCUGAAAUAUGUAAAAAUAAGUAUACAAGAAUACAAAUUAAUAGGAGGCAUUAAGUAUCAUCUUACUUGUGUGAAGUGGAUUUAGUUAUGUGUAUACAGUUAUGUGUUGGACCCCUCCUGAUGUUACAUUUAUACAUGAACAUGCACUGCAUCACAUCAUUAUACAGUUUGUUACAUUUAUACAUGAACAUGCGCUGCAUCACAUUAUUUCACAGUUUGUUACAUUUUGCUUGCUGUCAGAAAUCUUCAGCCAUAUGGAAUCUUCAGAUUUGGAAAAAUGUUACACAUUGCAGCCUCUUUCAAAUAAAUUAAAGGAAAAUGUUUACAUUUCAGUUUUGAGUUGAUAUAUAUAUUACUGCGUAAAAGUCUUAGGCGACAAAGAAAAUAUAUUCUUAAAAUUUUUUAACUCAACAGUCAUUGUAUAUUGUCUCAGAAAGACAUGCUAUAAUAUAAGAGUCGGAUAUGCACCAUUCAGAACUGGUUUGAGAAUGGACCUUAAAUUUCAAUUAAUUUUGUUCAUCUGAAAUAAAGUUGAAUCACUGUUGAAAACAGGAUGCAGAAUUACAAUUCAUUUUUGAAUUUAAGGAAGCAGAAUGAAUACGUAUUUGAAUUCAAAUAAAUUCAUAUACAUACAGUACAUAUAGCUACAAUAUAGCUUUUAGCUAUACAGCCAAAUAUUUAAAUAUGAAUUACACAUAAGCACAUUAACAUUGUUGUGUAUCACUAUUAUAAUUUUAUUCAGAAUGAAAUAAUGCAACAUUUGAAGUGUCACCUAAAACAAUAAUUAUACUGUCAUUUUGUGCACCAUGGUGGAUCUGCUCAUAGGAAGAGCUGAGUGUCUCUCCUUAAAAGUCAGUGUUGGCUGCAGUGACUGCAGUUUCUAACCUAAGAAACGUCCCAAACACUUUUCCUGCAUCAAAAGUCAAACUAGUGCCUAUUCCUGCCAUGAAAGCUUCACAUAAUGUCACCGAUACCUGAGCCAACCAUGUUUAUCAGAGGAUGCCAACCCUUUGGCUGCAGCUUUCUCUGCACAGGCUGAGAGAGUUUUCAGUGUAGCAGGAAAAGAUUUCAGGCCAGACGAUUGCAGAUUAAAUCAUGAAACCUUUGAAGAUAUUAUGCUAAUCAACUGUAAUAUAAUAAUAAAUGUAAUCAUGUUUAUUUGAAUAAAGCAUAAUUGCAUUUGCCAUGAUGUCUUGCUUUUUGCUGUAGUGCUAUGGUAGAAAGGAAAAACUUUCCUUUCAACACACAAGAAAAUAAAUAGUAGAAACCGCAUGAAACCAAGUAAUUCCUUUUGCGGUGCACACUUCUUAUUUAAUGUUUAAAAAAUAGACAAACAAAAUGGUCAACAUAAGCCAGAGGGAUAUUGAUAGUCAUGAAAAUAUAAAAUACACUUUACACACUUCAUUUCUUUACAUUGAAAUUAAUUAAAUUCAUCUACCUUCAUGCACUAACAUGAAACAUAUGAUUAUACAAUUAUAAUGUUUGUUCUUAUCAUAUAAUGUUUGUUAUUGUCAUGCCCAUGCAGGCGGAACCCACCGAAUAGCCCGUCUCGAUCACGCCCACAUGGGCGGGACCAGCCAGGUGCUCCGUAGAACGCUUAAUGACGGAAUGGAUUUAAGCACUGAGCUCCAUCAGGACAUUGCGAAGUAUUGAGCCAUGCUAUUGAGCCAUACCGAGCAAUCUAUUGUCUAUCGUCUACCCGUUGCUUCCUACCUGUUCCGUCCGCCCAGUGUACUUACCUUGUCUGUUCCUCUUCCUCUUCCCAGACCCGUUCCCGAACCUGAACCUCUUGCCCCGCUGAGACCGGCUUCUCCUGGUACUCUUUCCCUGUGUUGUCGUGUCCCGUGUUUGUUCCUCUUUCGGCUUCGGACACAUGCUUCUGCCCCUCGACCAUUCUCCUCGCUUAGCCCCUUUCAUUGCUACGUACUAGUGCUGCCAAUAAAACUUCUGGCUGCGUGCAAAUCUAGAUCUCCGUUCCACUUCUUGGGCCAGUGUUACAGUUAUAAUAUAAUCUUUGUUAUCAUAUAAUGUUAUCAAUGUAUAUUAAAGCUGUUAAGGUAUGUUAGGAUAUUAAGGUAUACGAAUUACAUGGUGAUUAUGAAUGUUAUAUGAAUGCAUUGUAAAUGUAUAAUGUAGGUGCAGUUAAUGUAAAGUGUUACUGAAUAUAUACUAAUAAAUAGUUAUACAACAAAAAGAGACAAGAAUGUCAACUAUUCUCCAAGAAGUUACUUAUUUUAUGGAUGGAUAGAACAACAUGACAUCCAUUCCAAAAUAUUUCUAAAAUCGGCAAGAAAUAUUUUUCAGGAUCUGUGUUUUCCAUUGUGACUCUCAAAGCGCUGUCAUCAUCAACAUUUUGCUUUUCAGGUAAAGACUCCAACAGCAAGACUGUGGUACAGCAGCCUGUGUCUGACACUGUGUCUGACACAGACUCUGUGAGUCUGCAGUGUACGAUAGAGACUGGGAGCUGUGCAGGAGAACACAGUGUUUACUGGUUCAGACAUUGUUAGAGUGUAUCUGUGUAUUUUAUCAUAUUAUUAUCCUCCUAUAUGUGUACGUGCAACCCUUAACAACUAACCCAUGGCCCAGAAAGGGUUGCAGACAAGAUGUCCUCACAGGGGCCUACCAGAUUGUGACACAGGAAUAAGAGACCUUGAGAAAGGAAACAGAUUCUGUCAACAUAGCAGGGGGCCCACCUUGAGAUAUGUAAUGCUUUGUAUUAACCCUGUUUCACGGAGGCCUCACACAGCAUUGACUAGUUUAAAGACAAGACCCAUGUAACCCCUCCCCUACCCUAUAAAUAAAGAAGCCAAGGGACUGUCCGGUGUGACACUCAACAGAGGCGCAGAUACUGUCUGUUGCACCUGAAGUGGGCACCCUUGCGCAAGUAAAACAGAAA